ACUCAACAAACCAGAUUCAUAGUUUAGGGAUGAAAUAAGUAAUAUGAGUACAGUUCAGGGGAAUAGUGGCGCAAUUAACCCGGUUCGAACAGAGGAAAAUUCCUAGGGUUUUAGAACAGUGAGCAGGGUAUUAUCAUCGCCACAGUCGUCGUCGACGUUGUUCAUUUUCCCGCGUCGCCAUGGGAGCCAAAGGCAAAGGCAAGAAGUUAAAGAAGGAUGCCGAUGUAAAAAACAAGUCAAAGAACGACGUUGUUGAUUAUGAGGAGUUGAGUGAUGAAGUUGUUGAGGAAGAGGAAGAGGAAGAAGAAGAUAAAAGCAAUAAGAUGGGGUCUCGGCAGAAAGCUAGAGAGCACGUGCAGGAAUUGCAAAGACUUGCAGAAAAGGACCCGGAGUUCUUUCGGUUCUUGAAAGAGCAUGAUAAGGAGCUUCUUGAAUUCAAUGAUGAGGACGUUGAUGAGGAUGUUGAGACAGAGAUAGAUGACGAAAUGCAAAAGGACAAAGAAACUGACGGACAUGAUAUAGAACGCCAGGCCAGUAUCGCAGAAAAGGAAGAUAAGCAAUAUAAAAAGGUUAUAACUAGUGCAAUGGUUGACUCUUGGUGUGAUGCAAUCCGUGAAAAUAUGAAAUUAGGGGCAGUUCGUUCCCUCAUGAAAGCUUUUCACAGUGCUUGCCAUUAUGGUGAUGAUGGAGGGGACGAGUCUUCUACAAAGCUAAGUAUCAUGUCUAGCAGCGUGUUCAACAAAAUACUGUUGUUUGUUUUAAGUGAAAUGGAUGGAAUUCUUCGAGCAUUGUUAAAGCUCCCAACAUUUGGAGGAAAGAAGGAAACAGUUACAGAUUUACUUAGCACCAAGCAGUGGAAGAACUACAGCCACUUGGUGAAGUCUUAUCUUGGAAAUGCUCUUCAUGUCUUGAACCAGAUGACUGACACCGAAAUGAUAUCUUUCACGAUAAGGCGUCUUAGAUGUUCAUCAAUGUUUUUGGCUGCUUUCCCCAGCCUCUUGAGGAGAUAUAUUAAGGUUGUUAUUCAUUUCUGGGGUACAGGGGGAGGUGCACUACCUGUUGGCUCCUUUUUAUUUAUACGAGAUAUUUGUAUUCGGCUCGGCUCUGAUUGCUUAGAUGAAUGCUUUAGAGGGAUAUACAAAGCCUAUGUCUUGAGCUGCCAAUUUGUGAAUGCCACAAAAUUACAGCACAUUCAUUUUCUUGGGAAUUGUGUCACUGAACUGUUUGGAGUGGACCUACCAGCUGCAUAUCAACAUGCUUUUGUUUUCAUACGGCAAUUGGCAACGAUUUUGCGGGACGCUCUUACGAUGAAAACUAAGGAAGCAUUUCGGAAAGUUUAUGAAUGGAAGUAUAUGAAUUGCCUUGAGCUUUGGACUGGAGCUAUCUGUGCCUAUAGUUCGGAGGCAGAUUUCCAGCCACUUGCUUAUCCACUGACUCAAAUAAUAUCUGGGGUUGCCCGUUUAGUUCCAACUGCUCGGUAUUUUCCCCUCAGAUUGCGCUGUGCGAGGAUGCUCAAUCGAAUUGCUGCUUCCAGUGGGACAUUUAUACCCGUUUCUCUGCUCCUUUUAGACAUGCUAGAGAUGAAAGAAUUGAAUAGACCUACUGAAGGUGUUGGCAAAGCAGUUGAUCUACGUACCAUAUUGAAGGUGAGUAAAGCAACCCUAAAGACAAGAGCGUUUCAAGAGGCAUGCGUUUUUUCUGUGGUUGAAGAGCUUGCCGAACAUUUGGCUCAGUGGAGUUACUCUGUUGCUUUCUUUGAGUUGUCUUUUCUUCCUGCUUUGCGGUUGCGUAACUUCUGCAAAUCUGCAAAAGUCGAGAGGUUUCGUCGAGAAAUGAGGGAGCUUAUUCGUCAGAUUGAGGCCAAUGCUGAGUUUACAAAUAAAAAACGGAUAUCAGUUUCAUUUUUACCAAAUGAUCCUGCAGCUGCAUCUUUUCUUGAGGAUGAGAAAAAGUUGGGGAUAAGCCCUCUGUCGCAGCAUGUUGCAACUCUACACCAAAGGGCACAGCAAAGAAAUGACUUGCUGAUGGAAUCCAGUGUUCUUGUGGGAGCAAAGGCGUCUGUCUUUGGAAGUAAGAUAUCAGAAAAUGAUGAUGAUGAUGAUGAGAUUACCAAUGGAGAAGGCGUUGCUGUUUUUAGUAGUUCCUCAUGGUUGCCCGGAAGUGAUUCCAAGAAUAAGAAUCCUAAAGUGGAGGAAAAGAAGAAAAAGAAGAGACGAAAGGAGUCACCAGAAGAGGCAGCAUUUGACGAAGAUGUGGUUGAGGACUUGAUUAUUAGUUCAGAUGAAGAUGAAGACGAAGACAGUCCCCCAGUUGGGCCAGGUGUUGAGGACGAGCCGGUGUCUCCAAAAAAGAGAAGCAAGAAAAGGAAACUAUCUGUGGAGCCAUCAAAAAAGAAAGCUCAAUUUCAUGCCAAAAAAUCGAAGAAGAGGAAGAAGGCACAUUAAAAAUGGACACGACUGUUGGAAACGACAAAGAAAGGAGGGAGUAUUUGUUUUAAUUGUCAUUGAUGUUGUGUUUGUUUAUUUUUUGCUAGGAGGUUACGCAUAGUAAUUAUGACGUUAUGCAUAAUCAGUUCAGGCCACUUAUAGAUUUUGUAUUGCUUGUCUUUUUUGUGUGUUGUGUUUAGAUUAUGGAUUGUCUCUGUUGAACAACCAGCCGGCAACUCGUCGGUUAGGUGGAGCCGUAGUGAAAAAGAGUUGGGGUGAAAUGCCACUAGAGCUCAGAGCUAGCUGGUCAACGGGAGCCCUUUGAGAAUAUCAACAUGUUCUCUCUCAUAUUUUUCUCCGUUAUGCAGAUAUGUGGAGGAAAAAAGAAAUGAUUGAAGGAACACAGCGUCUUCAUUCAGAGUGUUGAGUGUCUUCGAGUCUUCUUUAAGAUUAGAAAGAAAUCAUAGCUCCCUGCCACUAAUGAGUCUUGUAAGAAGUCGUCCUGCUGAGAAGGUUUGAUAUCAGCAGUUUAGGGAUAUCAGAUGUACUUCUCCUUCUGAUUGAAGACAAACAAACCGCGACUUCUGACUUAUUAUCAAUGAUUGAAGAAAGAAUGCUUGCUUUC